rnacentral:rRNA from 1 species
CCGCGUGAGUGAUGAAGGUUUUCGGAUCGUAAAACUCUGUUGUUAGGGAAGAACAAGUACCGUUCGAAUAGGGCGGUACCUUGACGGUACCUAACCAGAAAGCCACGGCUAACUACGUGCCAGCAGCCGCGGUAAUACGUAGGUGGCAAGCGUUGUCCGGAAUUAUUGGGCGUAAAGCGCGCGCAGGCGGUUUCUUAAGUCUGAUGUGAAAGCCCACGGCUCAACCGUGGAGGGUCAUUGGAAACUGGGAGACUUGAGUGCAGAAGAGGAGAGUGGAAUUCCACGUGUAGCGGUGAAAUGCGUAGAGAUGUGGAGGAACACCAGUGGCGAAGGCGACUCUCUGGUCUGUAACUGACGCUGAGGCGCGAAAGCGUGGGGAGCGAACAGGAUUAGAUACCCUGGUAGUCCACGCCGUAAACGAUGAGUGCUAAGUGUUAGAGGGUUUCCGCCCUUUAGUGCUGCAGCUAACGCAUUAAGCACUCCGCCUGGGGAGUACGGCCGCAAGGCUGAAACUCAAAGGAAUUGACGGGGGCCCGCACAAGCGGUGGAGCAUGUGGUUUAAUUCGAAGCAACGCGAAGAACCUUACCAGGUCUUGACAUCCUCUGACAACCCUAGAGAUAGGGCGUUCCC